AGUGGUUGUUGGAGGAACUUGAGAAACUCCAGGCGGACCUCGCCAGAAUCCAGGUGGAAACCCGGAGAGCAGGGGAUGGAGGGCGGACGGUUCGCUCGGAGCUGCAGGGAGACAGCGCUGGUCUGCGGGCGGAACGGCACGUGCGAGUGCGGGCUUUGUAAAGACGCGAAUUCGCCGGCUUUGCUUUUCUAGGCCACUGCCCUCUCUCCAUAAGGCAGACAUGACUAAUUUCCAGGGUAUCCUGUUACCAAACCAGAUGUGAUCGCCUGUUUGAGAAGAGAGGACUCCAGAUCAUAGAGAAAUUCCAAGUUCGAGUUACACAGGUAGAGAAGAAACGGACAGAUGGAGAUAAUGAGUAAGGCCCCAGUGGGUGAGUGAGGGCUGGA